UGAAAGAGUCUGCCGCCAAGGAACUCUUGAAUGUGAGUCGUGAUCAUCAUGUGUACAAAAACCUUCUAAAAGAUCUCGUAAUUCAGGUCAGUUAAAAUUUUAAUAUGGCAGCUUGUAGUUGUUUACCUGAUUUUUCCAAUUAUAUUUUCAGUAGGAUCCUAGAAUUUUAUAAGCAUAUGUAAAAAAGAGUUCCAUCAAUUACAGAAUAGAUUGCAGAACUUUAAGGGUUUACAGAAUAGACUGCAGGACUUUGAGAAAGGGCUGUGGUAUUUAAGUAUAGGGCUAUGAAGCACGGGCAUAGACACGGACACUGAUAAUAAUUUGAGAAAAUUACACAAUUCAGUGUAAUCAUGUGUCAGUGCCGUGUUGGUGUCAGACACCGAUGCGUGUCCGACCCCGGGACACACCUAAUCCGAUGAGUGUCCGUGCUUCAUAGCCCUAUACUUAAAUGCCACGGCCCUUUCUCAAACGACAAGACAGUCUCCUUCUCAUCCUUUCUUAUUAUUUAUAUCUUUACUUAUUCCACUAACCAUAAACCCCUGAACUGACACACCAACAGUAUUGCUUCAAGAAGCAAUACCACUGAUGUGUUUAAUGUCAUGGGUUCUGUCCCUAUCAUCCUGCUUCUCUUCCCUUUUUUACUGGUCUACAAGGCUUCUCAUUAAGUCUACUUGGAAUAUAAUUUUAGGGUUGUAAUUGACAGCCCCCCCGCCUCCACAGUCCAUACACUCCCUCCUCCCCCCAAAGAAACCUAACAAAUUUUACGUUAUUUUAUGUGCUACUUACUUCGUGUAUGUAAACUUGGAAUUAAAUAUAAGGAUUGUAUUUUACAGAGUUUGUUGAGGCUGAAAGAACCUUCUGUCCUAUUGAGGUGUCGGAAAGAGGACCUGAACUUGGUAGAGGAUGUUUUGGAUUCAGCUGCUAAGGAGUAUGCUGAAAAGGCAAAUGUUCAUGUACCAGAGAUCGUUGUUGAUAAGGAUGUCUAUCUUCCACCUGCCCCCAGCC
rnacentral:lncRNA from 1 species